rnacentral:rRNA from 1 species
CUCCUACGGGAGGCAGCAAUUAGGAAUCUUGCGCAAUGGGCGAAAGCCUGACGCAGCGACGCCGCGUGGAGGAGGAAGGCCUUCGGGCUGUAAACUCCUUUUAGGUGGGAAGAAACAAAUGACGGUACCACCAGAAUAAGCCCCGGCUAACUCCGUGCCAACAGCCGCGGUAAUUC